GCAUAUCAAUAAGCGGAGGAAAAAGAAACCAACAGGGAUUGCCUCAGUAACGGCGAGUGAAGCGGCAACAGCUCAAAUUUGAAAUCUGGCCUCACGGUCCGAGUUGUAAUUUGUAGAGGAUGCUUUUGGCGAGGUGCUUUCCGAGUUCCCUGGAACGGGACGCCAUAGAGGGUGAGAGCCCCGUACGGUAAGACCACCGAGCCUCUGUAAAGCUCCUUCGACGAGUCGAGUAGUUUGGGAAUGCUGCUCUAAAUGGGAGGUGUACGUCUUCUAAAGCUAAAUACCGGCCAGAGACCGAUAGCGCACAAGUAGAGUGAUCGAAAGAUGAAAAGCACUUUGAAAAGAGGGUUAAAAAGUACGUGAAAUUGUUGAAAGGGAAGCAUUCAUGACCAGACUUGGGCUUGGUUGAACAUCCGGCGUUCUCGCCGGUGCACUCUGCCAGUCCAGGCCAGCAUCAGUUUGCCCCGGGGGACAAAGGCGGUGGGAAUGUGGCUCUCUUCGGGGAGUGUUAUAGCCCGCCGUGUAAUGCCCUGGGGCGGACUGAGGAACGCGCUUCGGCACGGAUGCUGGCGUAAUGGUCAUCAAUGACCCGUCUUGAAACACGGACCAAGGAGUCGUCUUCGUAUGCGAGUGUUCGGGUGUCAAACCCCUACGCGUAAUGAAAGUGAACGUAGGUGAGAGCUUCGGCGCAUCACCGACCGAUCCUGAUGUUCUCGGAUGGAUUUGAGUAAGAGCAUACGGGGCCGGACCCGAAAGAAGGUGAACUAUGCCUGUAUAGGGUGAAGCCAGAGGAAACUCUGGUGGAGGCUCGCAGCGGUUCUGACGUGCAAAUCGAUCGUCAAAUAUGGGGCAUGGGGGGCGAAAGACUAAUCGAAUCUUCUAGUAGCUGCGUU
rnacentral:rRNA from 1 species